rnacentral:rRNA from 1 species
UACAGAGGUCUCAAGCGUUGUUCGGAUUCAUUGGGCGUAAAGGGUGCGUAGGUGGCGUCGUAAGUCGGGUGUGAAAUUUCGGAGCUUAACUCCGAAACUGCAUUCGAUACUGCGGUGCUUGAGGACUGGAGAGGAGACUGGAAUUUACGGUGUAGCAGUGAAAUGCGUAGAGAUCGUAAGGAAGACCAGUGGCGAAGGCGGGUCUCUGGACAGUCCUGACACUGAGGCACGAAGGCCAGGGGAGCAAACGGG